rnacentral:rRNA from 1 species
UUCAGACGAUGCGUCAUGCAUAUCAAUAAGCGGAGGAAAAGAAACUAACUAGGAUUCCCUCAGUAACGGCGAGUGAAGCGGGAAGAGCUCAAAUUUGAAAUCUUCAAGGUUCUACCUUGACGAAUUGUAGUUUAAAGAAGUGUUUUCUGUUGGAGUUUUGGUAAAAGUUCUUUGGAAUAGGACAUCAUAGAGGGUGAGAAUCCCGUAUUUGACCGUUAUUUCUAGCUUUGUGAUACACUUUCAAAGAGUCGGAUUGUUUGGGAAUGCAGUCCAAAAUGGGUGGUAAAUUUCAUCUAAAGCUAAAUAUUGGCGAGAGACCGAUAGCGAACAAGUACCGUGAGGGAAAGAUGAAAAGAACUUUGAAAAGAGAGUUAAACAGUACGUGAAAUUGUCAAAAGGGAAGCGUUUGACACCAGUGUUGUUUUCCUCGAAAAUCAACUAAAAAAGGCAGGAUUUUGUGUUGUAUUGACUUUAUCAGCUUUCUCUGCACUCUUUUCUUGUCUUUUUUUAAUGCACUUUUCGUUUAACAAGUCAACAUCAAUUUCUUUUGUUGUAAAAGGGUCAUUGGAAGGUGGCUUUCUUUUCGGAGAAAGUGUUUAUAGCCUUUGGCCUCUGCAAUCGGAGAGAUUGAGGUCUGCAGCGUAGAUCCUUCGGGGUUAGAUACAUUUGUGCUAAGUUAUAGCCUUUCAUAGACAACUUGUUGACUAUGAUCAGUCAUGUAGCUUACUCGCUUAUGCUAUUUUACCUACGCUUAGGAUGUUGAUCUACAGAGCGAGAGU